rnacentral:rRNA from 1 species
GACGAACGCUGGCGGCGUGCUUAACACAUGCAAGUCGAACGGAAAGGCCCUGCUUUUGUGGGGUGCUCGAGUGGCGAACGGGUGAGUAACACGUGAGUAACCUGCCCUUGACUUUGGGAUAACUUCAGGAAACUGGGGCUAAUACCGGAUAGGAGCUCCUGCUGCAUGGUGGGGGUUGGAAAGUUUCGGCGGUUGGGGAUGGACUCGCGGCUUAUCAGCUUGUUGGUGGGGUAGUGGCUUACCAAGGCUUUGACGGGUAGCCGGCCUGAGAGGGUGACCGGCCACAUUGGGCCUGAGAUAGGGCCCAGACUCCUACGGGAGGCAGCAGUGGGGAAUAUUGCACAAUGGGCGGAAGCCUGAUGCAGCAACGCCGCGUGCGGGAUGACGGCCUUCGGGUUGUAAACCGCUUUCGCCUGUGACGAAGCGUGAGUGACGGUAAUGGGUAAAGAAGCACCGGCUAACUACGUG